CGCAAUUACCCACUCCCGGCACGGGGAGGUAGUGACAAAAAAUAACGAUACGGGGACUCUUAUGAGGCCCCGUAAUCGGGAAUGAGUACACUUUAAAUCCUUUAACAAGGAUCCAUUGGAGGGCAAGUCUGGUGCCAGCAGCCGCGGUAAUUCCAGCUCCAAUAGCGUAUAUUAAAGUUGUUGCGGUUAAAAAGCUCGUAGUUGGUUCUGCGUGCUACGCUGUCGGUUCGCCGCCUGCCGGUGUAACUGGCAUGCCGUGGCAUGUCCUGUCGGUGGCGUGCGGGAGCCUUGUCAGGUGACGGCCCGGGUCACAAGCUCGGUGUCCGCCGGCCGGAGGUCCACCCCGUGCGCCUACUCUAUCCUACCUAGGUGCUCUUCACCGAGUGUCGAGGUAGGCCGACACGUUUACUUUGAACAAAUUAGAGUGCUCAAAGCAGGCUGAAAUCUCUGCCUGAAUAGUGGUGCAUGGAAUAAUAAAACAGGACCUUGGUUCUAUUUUGUUGGUUCUUAAGAACACAAGGUAAUGAUCAAUACGGACAGGCGGGGGCAUUCGUAUUGCGACGUUAGACUUGGCAAAUGCUUUCGCGGUGAAAUUCUUGGAUCGUCGCAAGACGCACAAGAGCGAAAGCAUUUGCCAAGUAUGUCUUGAUUGAUCAAGAACGAAAGUUAGAGGUUCGAAGGCGAUCAGAUACCGCCCUAGUUCUAACCAUAAACGAUGCCAGCCAGCGAUCCGCCGAUGUUCCUCCGAUGACUCGGCGGGGAGCUUCUUCCCGGGAAACCAAAGCUUUUGGGUUCCGGGGGAAGUAUGGUUGCAAAGCUGAAACUUAAAGGAAUUGACGGAAGGGCACCACCAGGAGUGGAGCCUGCGGCUUAAUUUGACUCAACACGGGAAACCUCACCAGGCCAGGACAUUGGAAGGAUUGACAGAUUGAUAGCUCUUUCUUGAUUCAGUGGGUAGUGGUGCAUGGCCGUUCUUAGUUGGUGGAUCGAUUUGUCUGGUUAAUUCCGAUAACGAACGAGACUCUAGCCUAUUAACUAGGCGUUUACCGGUGCCCCCGUCACCGGCGACACUCAUUCUUCUUAAGGGGACAGGCGGCUUAUAGCCGCACGAGAUUGAGCAAUAACAGGUCUGUGAUGCCCUUAGAUGUCCUGGGCCGCACGCGCGCUACACUGAAGGAAUCAGCGUGUGCCUCCCUGGCCGAAAGGCCCGGGUAAUCCGCUGAACCUCCUGCGUGCUAGGAAUUGGGGCUUGCAAUUGUUCCCCAUGAACGAGGAAUUCCCAGUAAGCGCGAGUCAUAAGCUCGCGUUGAUUAACGUCCCCUGCCCUUUGUACACACCGCCCGUCGCUACUACCGAUUGAAUGAUUUAGUGAGGUCUUCGGACUGGCGGUAAUCCCUAUCGACUUGUCGGUAUCGAUGAACGCUGGAAAGAUGACCAAACUUGAUCAUUUAGAGGAAGUAAAAGUCGUAACAAG
rnacentral:rRNA from 1 species